rnacentral:lncRNA from 1 species
GGGGUAGGACGAUCAAUUGCGCUAACUUCUGUUUAUAAUGCGGUAUUAAUUGCUAGGGGAGGCUAGGGAUAGCAAGCCAGUAGUUAAUAUUAGGCUCUUUUCACCGAGGGAUUGGGUUAAGGGGAGGCUAAGAAAGUCGCAUAACAAUUAAUUAAUCAAACUAAUAUUCAAGAGGAGUAGAUAAGAUAGGGCAGAUUAGAUGAAAUUGUAAACCCCCAACAACAUCCAUACAUUCAUUGUUUUCUCCUUGUCAUUUGAAUCAAUCUUUUUUAUAUGUUCAUAUUUUAUUCUCUUAAUCAAAUUAAUUAUUUUUAUUUUCAAGUCUUAUUAUUUUAAUUCACGCGAAUAUGAAAGCCAUUCAAGUCUCUUGGGAAAACGAUACUUGGUCUUACCAUUUAUAUUACUUGUACGAUUUGGUACACUUACCAAUCCGUCAACAAGUUUUUGGCGCCGUUGCCGGGGACUCGAGGUUUAUUUUUCUAGUAGUGUGGAUUAAUUGAUUUUGACUUGUUUGUAAUUAUUUUGUUUCAUUUUUGUUUAUUUGUGUUUUAUUUUUUUUAGUUUUCUGUAAAAGUGCUUUUAGGGUGUGUUUCUUGUGUAUGUAGGAAAUAUUACAUUCUAGGAGCCGGAGAAACCAGCAACCUUUGUUAGAAGAUCUACCAGACAGGAGGAGAAAGAGGCGUUCUUCACGUGAGAGAUCUCUUUCUCCUGCAGCUUGUUCACAGACUUCACUUAUGAUUCCUGUUUCAGAUUUUGAGGAGAUGGCCAACCAACC